GCACUGGUAGCCCAAUGGUUAAGCGCUUGGCUGCUAACCAAAAGGCUGGCAGUUCAAAUCCACCCAGCAGCA
rnacentral:tRNA from 1 species